GACGAGCGCUGGCGGCGUGCUUAACACAUGCAAGUCGAACGGAAAGGCCCUGCUUUUGUGGUGUGCUCGAGUGGCGAACGGGUGAGUAACACGUGAGUAACCUGCCCUUGACUUUGGGAUAACUUCAGGAAACUGGGGCUAAUACCGGAUAGGAGCUCCUGCUGCAUGGUGGGGGUUGGAAAGUUUCGGCGGUUGGGGAUGGACUCGCGGCUUAUCAGCUUGUUGGUGGGGUAGUGGCUUACCAAGGCUUUGACGGGUAGCCGGCCUGAGAGGGUGACCGGCCACAUUGGGACGGAGAUACGGCCCAGACUCCUACGGGAGGCAGCAGUGGGGAAUAUUGCACAAUGGGCGGAAGCCUGAUGCAGCAACGCCGCGUGCGGGAUGACGGCCUUCGGGUUGUAAACCGCUUUCGCCUGUGACGAAGCGUGAGUGACGGUAAUGGGUAAAGAAGCACCGGCUAACUACGUG
rnacentral:rRNA from 1 species